CAGUUUAAGGUCAAAUCUGAAAACAUCCCAGCAGAAAUUGGAAAUGUGACACAAAGGAAGAAUGUAGGCUUGGUGUGGCUCACUACCAUGGCAUGCUCAAAGAAGACCACUCGUUAACCAUUAUUAAUCACAGCUGUGUCAGUUGUCUGCAGGGAAACAGAACAGUCAAACAUUGAGUCUGUACAAGUCACGUAAGGGAAAUAAAGUAAAACAAAGUGAUAUUUUCAAGCUUCAACGAACUGAAUUAUGAAGCUUGUCAAACUUCUUUCUCACUGCAAACUACAGAAAGUGAGCAGAUCAACAAAAUAUGCUGGAUACUUCAGCUAGCUUUCUGCUGUUGCUAACACCGACACAUUACAGAAAAGAGAACGCCUUCGAGAAACACAGAGACCUGAUAUGACUUGGACAUCAUCUUGCCAUGAAAAGAAACGUCCAAAUGUGAGUCCAUUUUUCAUUAUUUAUUUUUCUGUCUCUAUCUCCUCUGUCCAGUUUUCUUUGCUAAACCUGUCUGCUGCUGUGUUUGUU